AUUGAACGCUGGCGGCAUGCCUUACACAUGCAAGUCGAACGGUAACGGGCCUUCGGGUGCCGACGAGUGGCGAACGGGUGAGUAAUGCAUCGGAACGUACCUUUCAGUGGGGGAUAACGUAGCGAAAGUUACGCUAAUACCGCAUAUUCUGUGAGCAGGAAAGCAGGGGAUCGCAAGACCUCGCGCGAUUGGAGCGGCCGAUAUCAGAUUAGGUAGUUGGUGGGGUAAAGGCCCACCAAGCCAACGAUCUGUAGCUGGUCUGAGAGGAUGACCGGCCACACUGGAACUGAGACACGGUCCAGACUCCUACGGGAGGCAGCAGUGGGGAAUAUUGCACAAUGGGGGAAACCCUGAUGCAGCGACGCCGCGUGGAGGAAGAAGGUCUUCGGAUUGUAAACUCCUGUCAUUCGGGACGAAUAAUGACGGUACCGGAUGAGGAAGCCACGGCUAACUACGUG
rnacentral:rRNA from 1 species